CCCCCGAAGAAUUCCAAGCUCAAAACACUUUACCCCUGAAGAAUUCCAAGCUCAAAACCCUUUACCCCUGAAGAAUUCCAAGCUCUGAAAAAUUUCAAUCUCAAACCUCUUUACCCCUGAAGAAUUCCAAGCUCAAAACCCUUUACCACUGAAGAAUUCCAAGUUCAAAACCAUUUACCCAUGAAGAAUUUCAAACUCAAAACACUUUACCCCUGAAGAAUUCCAAGCUCAAAGCACUUUACCCCUGAAGAAUUCCAAGCUCAAAACCCUUUACCCCUGAAGAAUUCCAGGGAUCCUCGACAGGGUGGGGGGUACGGAUAUU